UACGGAGGGGCUAGCGUUGUUCGGAAUUACUGGGCGUAAAGCGCGCGUAGGCGGCUUUGUAAGUUAGAGGUGAAAGCCCGGAGCUCAACUCCGGAACUGCCUUUAAGACUGCAUCGCUAGAAUCGUGGAGAGGUGAGUGGAAUUCCGAGUGUAGAGGUGAAAUUCGUAGAUAUUCGGAAGAACACCAGUGGCGAAGGCGACUCACUGGACACGUAUUGACGCUGAGGUGCGAAAGCGUGGGGAGCAAACAGG
rnacentral:rRNA from 1 species